UACGCAGAAGUGUAUUUAAGGUUAAAAUCGUUUGUUCAAUAACAUGCUUCUGUCAUUAAAUAUGAUAAACAUUACACCUUAUUUAUAUUUACGGUGUUUUCCCAUGAGAGAAUAAUAAAAAAAAGUAGUGAGUAUAUAAGAGCAUCCCAUCGUCUUUUAGAAGUAUAGACUUUUGAAAAGUUCAAGCACAAACAUCAACAUGAAGAUCUUUUUCUUUGUUACUUUCAUCUUCUUCGCUAUUGCAGCUUUGACUUCGGUUAAUGCACAAUUAAACGAAGGAGAUCCUUGUGUACCUGGCUCCGACCCUAAAUGUGGACCAGGAUUAAGAUGCUGUGGAAGGUUCAGAAAAUGUGUUAAAAAUUAGAAGGAAUAACAAACUAAUUGUUAUAUUUUUAAAACUGGCGCUAUCAUUUCUAAAUAAAUCAAAAUAAAAGCA